rnacentral:rRNA from 1 species
UACGGGGGGGGGUAAGCGUUGUUCGGAAUUACUGGGCGUAAAGCGCACGUAGGCGGACAUUUAAGUCAGGGGUGAAAUCCCGGGGCUCAACCCCGGAACUGCCUUUGAUACUGGGUGUCUAGAGUAUGGAAGAGGUGAGUGGAAUUCCGAGUGUAGAGGUGAAAUUCGUAGAUAUUCGGAGGAACACCAGUGGCGAAGGCGGCUCACUGGUCCAUUACUGACGCUGAGGUGCGAAAGCGUGGGGAGCAAACAGG